CAAGUUUCUUAAGAGAAUUCCAA
rnacentral:snRNA from 1 species